UAAGCCAUGCAUGUCUCAGUACAUACUAAAUUAAAGUGAAACCGCGAAUGGCUCAUUAAAUCAGUUAUGGUUCAUUAGAUUGUACGCACAUUUACUUGGAUAACUGUGGUAAUUCUAGAGCUAAUACAUGCAAACCAGAGUUCCAACCAGAGAUGGGAGGAACGCUUUUAUUAGAUCAAAACCAAUCGGUGGUUCGGGGUUUCGGCCUCGUCCAUCGUUUAUUUUGAUGACUCUGAAUAACUUUGUGCUGAUCGCAUGGUCUUGUACCGGCGACAAAUCUUUCAAAUGUCUGCCUUAUCAACUGUCGAUGGUAGGUUCUGCGCCUACCAUGGUUGUAACGGGUAACGGGGAAUCAGGGUUCGAUUCCGGAGAGGGAGCCUGAGAAACGGCUACCACAUCCAAGGAAGGCAGCAGGCGCGCAAAUUACCCACUCCCGGCACGGGGAGGUAGUGACGAAAAAUAACGAUACGGGACUCAUCCGAGGCCCCGUAAUCGGAAUGAGUACACUUUAAAUCCUUUAACAAGGAUCCAUUGGAGGGCAAGUCUGGUGCCAGCAGCCGCGGUAAUUCCAGCUCCAAUAGCGUAUAUUAAAGUUGUUGCGGUUAAAAAGCUCGUAGUUGAAUCUGUGUGCCACACUGUCGGUUCACCGCUCGCGGUGUUUAACUGGCAUGAUUGUGGGACGUCCUACCGGUGGACUUAGCGAGGAGCAAUCUUUGCGGUCCAAAUAGCAAUCCCAUCGCGGUGCUCUUUAUCGAGUGUCGAGGUGGGCCGGUACAUUUACUUUGAACAAAUUUGAGUGCUUAAAGCAGGCUAUUUUUGCCUGAAAACUGGUGCAUGGAAUAAUAAAAUAGGAUCUCGGUUCUAUUUUGUUGGUUUUAAGAACCACGAGAAAAUGAUUGAUAGGGACAGAUGGGGGCAUUCGUAUUGCGACGUUAGAGGUGAAAUUCUUGGAUCGUCGCAAGACGGACUAAAGCGAAAGCAUUUGCCAAAAAUGUUUUCAUUAAUCAAGAACGAAAGUUAGAGGUUCGAAGGCGAUCAGAUACCGCCCUAGUUCUAACCAUAAACGAUGCCAGCUAGCGAUCCGCCGAAGUUCUUCCGAUGACUCGGCGGGCAGCUUCCGGGAAACCAAAGCUUUUGGGUUCCGGGGGAAGUAUGGUUGCAAAGCUGAAACUUAAAGGAAUUGACGGAAGGGCACCACCAGGAGUGGAGCCUGCGGCUUAAUUUGACUCAACACGGGAAACCUCACCAGGCCCGGACACCAGAAGGAUUGACAGAUUGAUAGCUCUUUCUUGAUUUGGUGGGUGGUGGUGCAUGGCCGUUCUUAGUUGGUGA
rnacentral:rRNA from 1 species